rnacentral:rRNA from 1 species
UACGAAGGGUGCAAGCGUUACUCGGAAUUACUGGGCGUAAAGCGUGCGUAGGUGGUUUGUUAAGUCUGAUGUGAAAGCCCUGGGCUCAACCUGGGAAUUGCAUUGGAUACUGGCAGGCUAGAGUGCGGUAGAGGGUAGUGGAAUUCCCGGUGUAGCAGUGAAAUGCGUAGAGAUCGGGAGGAACAUCCGUGGCGAAGACGACUACCUGGACCAGCACUGACACUGAGGCACGAAAGCGUGGGGAGCAAACAGG